AUGGAGUGAUUUCUCAUGUAGUGUUACAGUAAUGACCAACGUGACACAGAAGGAAAAUUCUGUGACAAUAUGGAGCUCAUGUCCUGUCAUGGAGAGGAGUCAACCUCUUUCCUGCAGGCAGUCUAACCCUCUCAUGGAGGCAGUGCAGCCAUGACCCAGCACAACACAUGCCAUGUGUAGUGAGAGGGAAUCAGAGAAAAUUCAUUCAACCAUCAAUUCAUAGAGAUGAAAAUCCAGUGGAAGAGCACCACACAGAGCCCAUCUUUUUCAAGGCGUGGCUUAGUCUGCAUCAAUAUGUGUAUUUAGCUGCAUGCAUAAGACCACCUGCUGCGUGCUUGUCCUGGCUGGGUCAGAUGCUGGUCUGCUAAAACCAGGGUGCAGCAAAACCAACAUUGUAAGAGUUCAUAACCUAAAUGCCCCAUAGAGCUGGAAGAAAAGCCAUCUCAUGUAAGCACUGCUGUGAGAACAUCCAGACUGCAAGCUGUUGAGGAGGUCUCUCUGUGUGGCAGGCCCUGCCCAAGUGGCUUCAGCAAUCCCUGAGCUAGGACCAAGGUUAGCUUCUCUUUCCAGCACAUCCAGUAAUGUUCAAAGCUGGCCCUGGAUGUUUGUGGCCGGCAGAUGAAAGCAAAGCUCAUUGCAGCAAUAUUGCUCAGGGUGACCUGUGCAGCUUUGCUUUUAAAGGUUAGGUGGUGAAAACACUGCUCUGCUGCUUGUUGGAGUGAGGUUUUAGCUAUAAGGUCACUUUGUUUUUCACGCUCUUGGAAAUGUUACCUCCACCCGUCACAGGGAAUGUAAAUCAAGUAAAAUAACACCCAGCAGGGUUAGCGGGGUAACACUAAAUCAACACCAGCUGCAACAGCUAGGGUUGAAUGUAAAAUUUACAGUGAGGCAUAUGUCUAUUGCUCCUGAGCUUUUAACACUCUUUUCAAUUAAAACAUGCAAAGACUGAGCUGAUUUUUAAUGGUCUAAAGAAAAGCAAACUUGGAGGCCAAACUCAUCCCAGUUUUCUGUUGAGUGUUCAUGGUGUCUCUAAAUCAAGUGUAUAUUGCAAGCUGGAUGAGGAUAGGGAGGAGGGCAAACUUUCCUUUCAGCAGUUUGGAAGAAAUGCUGACUAAAAUCUGCAUCUAUCAUCUUGUUAUUGAAAAGUAUAAGUAAAAGGUGAGUGAAAAUUGUGCCUGAUAUGGGACGUAUAGUUGACAGACAGCUCAUUGUAACAGAUGUGGCUCCUUUUAAAUAACACUGUAAAUGAGAUCCCAGAAAGACAAGGACAAAGGCUAGGAGAGAGCACUUAGACUAAUUAGACAGAGAAAUCCAUUUCCUUUUUAACUGAAUGCUCCUCUAAAUGUGCAGAGAUUUCCAAGUUAGAAAGUGCAAGCAAAGGAUGGAGGCUUCAGAUAUCAGUUCAUAAUCUGCAAGGCAUGGAAUAACAAUGGUUCCCAUUUUUCAAGUACUGAUCUUCAGUUGUUUGUUAAAAAUGCUUGUCAACUCCUCACUGAAGUACCUGCAGAUUAAUGGCAUGGCUAAAAAGCCUUUCAUCCGUUGGUGUGGGAGUCUAUAAAGAAAGGCAAGGAAUGGCCUCAGAAUUUGUUCUGCCUUCAAAAUUAAGCAAGGACUGGUGGCCCAGAAUUUUGCUUACUACAAACCUACAGGAUAAGUUAGAGUAAAGGUAAAAGACAGAAAUGGUGCUAUGGUUUCUAUAGCAAUUAGCACUCCACGCUCAAGUGCCUUUCUGUGUGUUCUUUAUGUUGGCCACAAGAUAUUAAUGGCAGGAUCCGUCUCACUUAGCUCCAGCUCUUUCAGUUUCAUUCAUUCAUUUUUACCAUUAUAAACAUGUAUUAAACCAAAGUUUUCCAGGAUCCUACAACAACUAGCUUUUAGAGAUGGGCAUCUCCAAAAUUCUUGUCUUGUCACAGAAUCACAGAAUUGUAGGGGUUGGAAAGGACCUCCAGAGAGCAUCGAGUCCAACCCCUCUGCUAAUGCAGGUUCCCUACAGCAGGUCACACACGUAGGUGUCCAGGCUGUUCUUGGAUAUUUCCAGAGAAAGAGACUCCACAACCUCUCUGGGCAGCCUGUUCUGGUACUGUGUCACUCUGACAGUAAAGAAGUUAUUCCUUGCAUUAGUAUGGAACUUCCUGGGUUCCAGUUUCUGCCCACUGCCCCUUGUUCUACUAUUGCUCACCACCAAAAUGAGUCCACCCCCAUCAGCUUGGCUCCCACACUUUAGGUACUUUACAAAGUUAUAAGAUCCCUGCUCAACCUUCUCUUCUCCAGACUGAAUAGUCUCAGGUCUCUCAGCCUUUCCUCAUAAGAGCUCUGGUCCUCAUAAGAGCUCAUAAGAGCCCUGGGUGUCUCAAUAUAGGAGGUGCUCCAGACCCCUAAUAAUUUCUGUGCCCCUCUUCUGGAUUCUCUUUAGAAGAUCCCUGUCCUUUUUUAACUGGGGAGCCCAGAACUGAACACAGUACUCUGGAUGUGGCCUCACCAGGGCAGAGGGGGAGGAUCACCAAAGGAUGUAUCUGAGAAGAGCAUCUCUAGAGGGUGAUUCUGUCAAACAAUGACUUCCCACUGACUUCAGAGGGCAUGGCAACAGGUUCAGCUUAGACAUUUUUCUAGACACGUAGAUUUAGUGAUUUUACCAUAAAUGGCUCUACACUUAUCACCAGAAAUCACAAAUGUAUUUUUUUUUCACCAGAGAUUUGUGCACUUGCUAACUUUUGAUCUCUUUCUCUGCUCCAUGUAAAACUAAAGGAGGAGAACUGAGAAAAGGAAAUUCAAGGAAAUGGGGAACAUGAGAAAUUAAUUUUUGUUGCUCCUUUUUGAGCUGAGCAGCUAGCCAAUAUUUAGUGCCCUGGACAUUACGUAGGGUAAAAGCAACAGAAUUGAGCAUAUUUAGUGCAACUUUUCUUUUGGUGCGUCUUUAUAAAUAAACUGUUCUGUGAUCUUGGAAACUGGGAGAGU
rnacentral:lncRNA from 1 species